GCAGUAGCCGCGGUAAUACCAGCACCUCGAGUGGUCAGGAGGUUUAUUGGGCCUAAAGCAUCCGUAGCCGGUUGCAUAAGUUUUCGGUUAAAUCUAUGCGCUUAACGUAUAGGCCGCCGAAAAUACUGUGCAGCUAGGGAGUGGGAGAGGUACACGGUACUCGAUAGGAAGGGGUAAAAUCCUUUGAUCUAUUGAUGACCACCUGUGGCGAAGGCGGUGUACCAGAACACGUUCGACGGUGAGGGAUGAAAGCUGGGGGAGCAAACCGGAUUAGAUACCCCCGUAGUCCCUGUCUCUUAUAA
rnacentral:rRNA from 1 species